rnacentral:lncRNA from 1 species
AAGAAUAUUUGUGUAUUCAUUAAUGGUCAUGAUCAUGCCAACAACUGUCCAUCAAUGCACUACGGGCCAAUGAGGACUUUUACCACAUCAUUUGUAACAUUACGGUCAUGAUUACACCGAAUAAUCCCUGGUCAUAAUCAUACCAAGUCCAUCUAUGCAUUACAGGCCACAGAUGACUUUCAAAAAAAUAUAAACAUGAGGAUGAUGACAAUGAU